CAGUGGCGAACGGGUGAGUAACACGUGGGCAACCUGCCCCCGGCUCUGGGAUAACUCCAAGAAAUUGGGGCUAAUACCGGAUAUGACCGCUGACCGCAUGGUCUGGUGGUGGAAAGAUUUAUCGGCUGGGGAUGGGCCCGCGGCCUAUCAGCUUGUUGGUGGGGUAGUGGCCUACCAAGGCGACGACGGGUAGCCGGCCUGAGAGGGUGACCGGCCACACUGGGACUGAGACACGGCCCAGACUCCUACGGGAGGCAGCAGUGGGGAAUAUUGCGCAAUGGGCGGAAGCCUGACGCAGCGACGCCGCGUGGGGGAUGACGGCCUUCGGGUUGUAAACCUCUUUCAGCAGGGACGAAGCCGGAAGGUGACGGUACCUGCAGAAGAAGCACCGGCCAACUACGUGCCAGCAGCCGCGGUAAUACGUAGGGUGCAAGCGUUGUCCGGAAUUAUUGGGCGUAAAGAGCUCGUAGGCGGUUUGUUGCGUCGGCUGUGAAAUCCCGAGGCUCAACCUCGGGUCUGCAGUCGAUACGAGCAAACUAGAGUGUUGCAGGGGAGACUGGAAUUCCUGGUGUAGCGGUGAAAUGCGCAGAUAUCAGGAGGAACACCGGUGGCGAAGGCGGGUCUCUGGGCAGCAACUGAC
rnacentral:rRNA from 1 species